rnacentral:rRNA from 1 species
AGAUUGAACGCUGGCGGCGUGCUUAACACAUGCAAGUCGAGCGGUAACGCGGGAGCAAUCCUGGCGACGAGCGGCGAACGGGUGAGUAAUGCUUGGGAAUCUGCCCAUUAGUGGGGAACAACCAGCCGAAAGGUUGGCUAAUACCGCAUACGCCCUACGGGGGAAAGCGGGGGAUCGUAAGACCUCGCGCUAAUGGAUGAGCCCAAGUCGGAUUAGCUUGUUGGUAGGGUAACGGCCUACCAAGGCGACAAUCCGUAGCUGGUCUGAGAGGACGACCAGCCACACUGGGACUGAGACACGGCCCAGACUCCUACGGGAGGCAGCAGUGGGGAAUAUUGGACAAUGGGGGAAACCCUGAUCCAGCGACGCCGCGUGUGUGAAGAAGGCCUGCGGGUUGUAAAGCACUUUUAGUGGGGAUGAAAAGCCUAGGGUUAACACCUCUGGGUCUUGACCUAACCACAGAAAAGCACCGGCUAACUCUGUGCCAGCAGCCGC